UACGAAGGGUGCAAGCGUUACUCGGAAUUACUGGGCGUAAAGGGCGCGUAGGCGGAUAUUUAAGUUAGAUGUGAAAUCCCUGGGCUUAACCUAGGAACUGCAUCUGAUACUGGAUAUCUGGAGUGCGGUAGAGGGUAGUGGAAUUUCCGGUGUAGCGGUGAAAUGCGUAGAUAUCGGAAGGAACACCAGUGGCGAAGGCGGCUACCUGGACUGAUACUGACGCUGAGGCGCGAGAGCGUGGGGAGCAAACAGG
rnacentral:rRNA from 1 species